CUUUCUAUCUUCUCUCUUCUUGUCUUUCUAAUAGUCUGAUACUUUUUUCCUUUUUCGUCUCUUUCUUCAUUUUGGUUAGCUCCAAGAAUGCCUACAAAACAACUCUUCGAAAAUGCAUGAUUCAACUUCUAUUUCAGAAAAUCUAAUGCCAGCACCCACGCCUCUCAGCCUCCCAAAAAGACUGGUAAUCUCUCUCUCAUCGAUCCUCUCUCUCUCAUCACUCUUCUCUCUCAUAUCACUCUUUUUUCUUCUUUCAGGAUUAGCAGGAUAUUGAUUUCGGGAUUAGAGAGGGUGUUGGUUUUAGGACAUAAAUUUCGGGAUUGGAGAAGCUUCUAAGUGGGUCAAGGGGAAGCAAUUGGAAGAAGUUGUGGCCAUUAAAAACACAUAUGGGAUUGGUGGCCAAAAGAUAGCUUUUGUGGGACUAUUUGAACUCAAAUAAUUUUCUGUAAAGUUUGGAAGCUAAGACAUCAUUUGUAUAUAAAUGGCUGUAAUUACUUUGUGAACAUCUUUAUU